UUGUAAGAGCUUAAGCCUCAAACUCCACCCCUCUUUUUGGGUAUGUAGUUAUGGCUAUGAGUAACAAAUGUGACAUAAAUAACAAUGUGUAAAAUAAUGUAAAUUAUCAAAUCAAUAAAAAUCAAUAACUUACAUUUUUGUUGGUGAAUCACUACAAAUGAUUGUAGUUGUAUUGGAAACAGUGAUUGUCAUAAUUCACGGUAAUAAAAAGGCGUAUCACUAUCGAUAAAGUAACCUAUUGACGAAAUUUUUGUGAUACGGUAAUUUAUUAUGAUGAAAUUUAACCACAAAAAGUAGGGGAUAUAGAUUUAAAACCAUAUUUUCGUUAUUUAAUUACACGUAAGGAUCCUUAUUAACUCUGGUGUGGUAGCCAGUUGCUGUUGACUAAUCACACUAAAUU
rnacentral:misc_RNA from 1 species